CAGAAGUAGAAAUUCCUGAGGCAGGCCU
rnacentral:sRNA from 1 species